rnacentral:rRNA from 1 species
AUGAACGCUGGCGGCGUGCCUCAUACAUGCAAGUCGAGCGAACGGACGAGAAGCUUGCUUCUCUGAUGUUAGCGGCGGACGGGUGAGUAACACGUGGAUAACCUACCUAUAAGACUGGGAUAACUUCGGGAAACCGUAGCUAAUACCGGAUAAUAUUUUGAACCGCAUGGUUCAAAAGUGAAAGACGGUCUUGCUGUCACUUAUAGAUGGAUCCGCGCUGCAUUAGCUAGUUGGUAAGGUAACGGCUUACCAAGGCAACGAUGCAUAGCCGACCUGAGAGGGUGAUCGGCCACACUGGAACUGAGACACGGUCCAGACUCCUACGGGAGGCAGCAGUAGGGAAUCUUCCGCAAUGGGCGAAAGCCUGACGGAGCAACGCCGCGUGAGUGAUGAAGGUCUUCGGAUCGUAAAACUCUGUUAUUAGUGAAGAACAUAUGUGUAAGUAACUGUGCACAUCUUGACGGUACCUAAUCAGAAAGCCACGGCUAACUACGUG